GAGGGUAGAGCUCAGUGGCAGAGCGCGUGCUUAGCAUGGACGAGGUCCUGGGCUCAAUCCCCACUACCUUCA
rfam:Camelus ferus unplaced genomic scaffold scaffold726, whole genome shotgun sequence.